GAUGAACGCUGGCGGCGUGCCUAAUACAUGCAAGUCGAGCGAACUGAUUAGAAGCUUGCUUCUAUGACGUUAGCGGCGGACGGGUGAGUAACACGUGGGCAACCUGCCUGUAAGACUGGGAUAACUUCGGGAAACCGAAGCUAAUACCGGAUAGGAUCUUCUCCUUCAUGGGAGAUGAUUGAAAGAUGGUUUCGGCUAUCACUUACAGAUGGGCCCGCGGUGCAUUAGCUAGUUGGUGAGGUAACGGCUCACCAAGGCAACGAUGCAUAGCCGACCUGAGAGGGUGAUCGGCCACACUGGGACUGAGACACGGCCCAGACUCCUACGGGAGGCAGCAGUAGGGAAUCUUCCGCAAUGGACGAAAGUCUGACGGAGCAACGCCGCGUGAGUGAUGAAGGCUUUCGGGUCGUAAAACUCUGUUGUUAGGGAAGGACAAGUACGAGAGUAACUGCUUCGUACCUUGACGGUACCUAACCAGAAAGCCACGGCUAACUACGUGC
rnacentral:rRNA from 1 species